UAGAGUUUGAUCCUGGCUCAGGAUGAACGCUAGCGGCAGGCCUAAUACAUGCAAGUCGAACGAGACGUUUUUCUUCGGGAAAACUGAAAGUGGCGCACGGGUGCGUAACGCGUAUGCAACCUACCCUUAACAGGGGGAUAGCCCAGAGAAAUUUGGAUUAAUACCCCAUAGUAUAAUCAGAUGGCAUCUGAAGAUUAUUAAAGAUUUAUCGGUUAAGGAUGGGCAUGCGUGACAUUAGAUGGUUGGUGAGGUAACGGCUCACCAAGUCAACGAUGUCUAGGGGUUCUGAGAGGAUGAUCCCCCACACUGGUACUGAGAUACGGACCAGACUCCUACGGGAGGCAGCAGUAGGGAAUAUUGGUCAAUGGGCGAGAGCCUGAACCAGCCAUGCCGCGUGCAGGAAGACAGCUUUCUGAGUUGUAAACUGCUUUUAUAUGGGAAGAAAAAGCCCUUGCGAGGGAAAUUGCCGGUACCAUAUGAAUAAGCACCGGCUAACUCCGUGCCAGCAGCCGCGGUAAUACGGAGGGUGCAAGCGUUGUCCGGAUUUAUUGGGUUUAAAGGGUGCGUAGGCGGAUCUUUAAGUCAGUGGUGAAAUCCUGCAGCUUAACUGUAGAACUGCCAUUGAUACUGGAGGUCUUGAGUAUACUAGAGGUAGGCGGAAUUUAUGGUGUAGCGGUGAAAUGCAUAGAUACCAUAAAGAA
rnacentral:rRNA from 1 species